rnacentral:rRNA from 1 species
CUUUCGCAUCGAUGAAGAACGCAGCGAACGUGCGAAACGUAAUGUGAAUGNCAGAAUUCAGUGAAUCAUCGAAUCUUUGAACGCAUCUUGCGCUCCUUGGUAUUCCGAGGAGCAUGCCUGUNUGAGUGUCGUGAAUACUCUCAAUUUCAAUCUUUUUGUUUGAAAUUGGAUUUGGAUGUUGUUGUUGAUUCCAUUAACGACUCAUCCUAAAUACAUUAGCGAUCUGGCUUGAUCACACACAAUGUGAUAAAUUAUUUCAUCAUUGUUAUACUCAGGUCAUGACUGCUUCUAACCGUCGAAAGACACCGCAUAUAUGCAUGUCAUUUGACCUCAAAUCAGGUAGGACUACCCGCUGAACUUAAGCAUAUCAAUAAGCGGAGGAAAAGAAACUAACAAGGAUUCCCCUAGUAACGGCGAGUGAAGAGGGAAAAGCUCAAAUUUGAAAUCUGGCGGUCUUAAGGCUGUCCGAGUUGUAAUCUAGAGAAGCGUCUUCCGCGC